rnacentral:rRNA from 1 species
UACGUAGGGUGCGAGCGUUAAUCGGAAUAACUGGGCGUAAAGAGUGCGUAGGCGGGCGUAUAAGUUAGAUGUGAAAUCCCCGAGCUUAACUCGGGAAUAGCAUUUAAGACUGUAUGUCUAGAGUUUGUGAGAGGGUGGUAGAAUUCCAAGUGUAGCAGUGAAAUGCGUAGAGAUUUGGAGGAAUACCGAUGGCGAAGGCAGCCACCUGGCAUAGAACUGACGCUGAGGCACGAAAGCGUGGGUAGCAAACAGG